UUCCGCGAAUCAUCGAGUCUUUGAACGCAAGUUGCGCCCGAGGCUUGACCAAGGGCAUUUCUGCCAGAGCGUCACC
rnacentral:rRNA from 1 species